rnacentral:rRNA from 1 species
AGUGAACGCUGGCGGUAGGCCUAACACAUGCAAGUCGAACGGCAGCACAGUAAGAGCUUGCUCUUACGGGUGGCGAGUGGCGGACGGGUGAGGAAUACAUCGGAAUCUACUUUUUCGUGGGGGAUAACGUAGGGAAACUUACGCUAAUACCGCAUACGACCUACGGGUGAAAGCAGGGGAUCUUCGGACCUUGCGCGAUUGAAUGAGCCGAUGUCGGAUUAGCUAGUUGGCGGGGUAAAGGCCCACCAAGGCGACGAUCUGUAGCUGGUCUGAGAGGAUGAUCAGCCACACUGGAACUGAGACACGGUCCAGACUCCUACGGGAGGCAGCAGUGGGGAAUAUUGGACAAUGGGCGCAAGCCUGAUCCAGCCAUACCGCGUGGGUGAAGAAGGCCUCCGGGUUGUAAAGCCCUUUUGUUGGGAAAGAAAAGCAGCAGGUUAAUACCCCGCUGUUCUGACGGUACCCAAAGAAUAAGCACCGGCUAACUUCGUG